rnacentral:snRNA from 1 species
GUGGCCUAUCGAUCCUUUAGA